ACACAUUUCUGACAGACCUGGAGCUCUCAAUGUCUGCUGCUAAGGUCUCCACAAUAGAUGCAAGAGAAAGAAGGUCCCCGUGCUUUCUGUCUGUCUGUCUGUGGCAGCCAAGAUUGAAUGGGGGAAUACAGGA
rnacentral:snoRNA from 1 species